CUGCACACGCCUCCUCGGCAACCGCGCGCCUACUCGUUCUUAUCCCUUCUUAUUCUUUUUCACAAACGCCUUAUCCCUUCGUCCUCUCUUCCUCCACUCAUCCUCUUCACUCCUUUCCCGAUCCCCUCUCCUCCUCUCAAUCCCCUCCCCUUACCUAUUGGUGGCAGGAGGUGGCAGGCGGCGGUCGGGCGGGUGGAGGGGAGGACGGUGGCAGGCGGCGGCCCGGAGGGGUUGUCGCGGCACUGACGAGCGGGCUGAUGCAGCGCUGAAGACGACGAUGUGAGGACUUGUUUUUGUGAUGUCGUUGUAGAUGUGUGGUGCUGCUGUGGAUGAUUAAUUUUGUGAAGUAUGUGAAUUUGUGAUAUCAAUGAUCUGUGAAUUUGUGUUGUCAUUUUGAUCUGUGAUGUUUAUUUGAUCUGUGAAUUUGUGAUGUUGGUGAGUUGGGCUGUGAAUUUGUGAUAUUGGUGAGUUUGGCGUGAAAACAAUAAAUUAGAGGGUAACCUUUAAUUCCGCAAAAAAUUUGGGUUUUUGGGUAUACCAACAAUUCACCCCCCUGGUUGGCUUAGUUCUUGUGAUUCGAUCCUACAAACAUUUUUGUUCUCUCUGAAUUAGUCUGAACAGUUUUGAACUCGUCCAUUUAUCUGAAGCUUGAACGGUUCUGAAAUCUAUUGCUCCAAAGUGUUACCUGGAACUAGGCAAAUUUGAACAGAUUGGCCAGAAAGAAGCUCUCCACUGCAGCUCACCACCAUCUUCCUCAGCAUGUUGUCACUGUAAACUGCAACGAGGAAGGCAGAGGCCACCAAGUGCUGUAGUGAGUUCCACUCAACUACAUACAGCAAACUCCCUAAAAUAAAUUGCUGCAAGCCAUGUGAAUUAUUACUGCAUUGCUUCCUUCAAUCAAUUUCUAGCUACCUUAGCUAUAAAAAAAAUAUUCGCAGUGUUGUGAACUUACCUUCUGAAAGCGGUGGUCCCUAAGUCCGGCAGGAUCGAGGAGUAUGUGCAGGACUGUAGGAACGAAUCACAAGAACUAAGCCAACCAGAGGGGGUGAUUGAUUAGUAUACCCAAAAACCGAAAACUUUUAGCGAAAAUAAAAGUUACCCUCAA
rnacentral:lncRNA from 1 species